rnacentral:rRNA from 1 species
GACGAACGCUGGCGGCGUGCUUAACACAUGCAAGUCGAACGGAAAGGCCCUGCUUUUGUGGGGUGCUCGAGUGGCGAACGGGUGAGUAACACGUGAGUAACCUGCCCUUGACUUUGGGAUAACUUCAGGAAACUGGGGCUAAUACCGGAUAGGAGCUCCUGCUGCAUGGUGGGGGUUGGAAAGUUUCGGCGGUUGGGGAUGGACUCGCGGCUUAUCAGCUUGUUGGUGGGGUAGUGGCUUACCAAGGCUUUGACGGGUAGCCGGCCUGAGAGGGUGACCGGCCACAUUGGGACUGAGAUACGGCCCAGACUCCUACGGGAGGCAGCAGUGGGGAAUAUUGCACAAUGGGCGGAGGCCUGAUGCAGCAACGCCGCGUGCGGGAUGACGGCCUUCGGGUUGUAAACCGCUUUCGCCUGUGACGAAGCGUGAGUGACGGUAAUGGGUAAAGAAGCACCGGCUAACUACGUGCCAGCAGCCGCGGUGAUACGUAGGGUGCGAGCGUUGUCCGGAUUUAUUGGGCGUAAAGGGCUCGUAGGUGGUUGAUCGCGUCGGAAGUGUAAUCUUGGGGCUUAACCCUGAGCGUGCUUUCGAUACGGGUUGACUUGAGGAAGGUAGGGGAGAAUGGAAUUCCUGGUGGAGCGGUGGAAUGCGCAGAUAUCAGGAGGAACACCAGUGGCGAAGGCGGUUCUCUGGGCCUUUCCUGACGCUGAGGAGCGAAAGCGUGGGGAGCGAACAGGCUUAGAUACCCUGGUAGUCCACGCUGUAAACGGUGGGUACUAGGUGUGGGGUCCAUUCCACGGGUUCCGUGCCGUAGCUAACGCUUUAAGUACCCCGCCUGGGGAGUACGGCCGCAAGGCUAAAACUCAAAGGAAUUGACGGGGCCCCGCACAAGCGGCGGAGCAUGCGGAUUAAUUCGAUGCAACGCGUAGAACCUUACCUGGGUUUGACAUGGAUCGGGAGUGCUCAGAGAUGGGUGUGCCUCUUUUGGGGUCGGUUCACAGGUGGUGCAUGCCUGUCGUCAGCUCGUGUCGUGAGAUGUUGGGUUAAGUCCCGCAACGAGCGCAACCCUUGUUCACUGUUGCCAGCACGUUAUGGUGGGGACUCAGUGGAGACCGCCGGGGUCAACUCGGAGGAAGGUGGGGAUGACGUCAAGUCCUCAUGCCCCUUAUGUCCAGGGCUUCACGCAUGCUACAAUGGCUGGUACAGAGAGUGGCGAGCCUGUGAGGGUGAGCGAAUCUCGGAAAGCCGGUCUCAGUUCGGAUUGGGGUCUGCAACUCGACCUCAUGAAGUCGGAGUCGCUAGUAAUCGCAGAUCAGCAACGCUGCGGUGAAUACGUUCCCGGG